rnacentral:rRNA from 1 species
CCUACGGGUGGCGGCAGUGGGGAAUAUUGCACAAUGGGGGAAACCCUGAUGUAGCGACGCCGCGUGAGCGCUGAAGUAUUUCGGUAUGUAAAGCUCUAUCAGCAGGGAAGAAAAUGACGGUACCUGACUAAGAAGCCCCGGCUAACUACGUGCCAGCAGCCGCGGUAAUACGUAGGGGGCAAGCGUUAUCCGGAUUUACUGGGGGAAAGGGGGGCGUAGACGGCGAUGAAAGCCAGAUGUGAAAGCCCGGGCUCAACCCCGGGACUGCAUUUGGAACUGUAUAGCUGGAGUGUCGGAGAGGCAGGCGGAAUUCCUAGUGUAGCGGUGAAAUGCGUAGAUAUUAGGAGGAACACCAGUGGCGAAGGCGGCCUGCUGGACGAUGACUGACGUUGAGGCUCGAAAGCGUGGGGAGCAAACAGGAUUAGAUACCCUUGUAGUC